rnacentral:rRNA from 1 species
UACAGAGGUCUCAAGCGUUGUUCGGAUUCAUUGGGCGUAAAGGGUGUGUAGGUGGCGCCGUAAGUCGGGUGUGAAAUUUCGGAGCUUAACUCCGAAACUGCAUUCGAUACUGCGGUGCUUGAGGACUGGAGAGGAGACUGGAAUUCAUGGUGUAGCAGUGAAAUGCGUAGAGAUCAUGAGGAAGACCAGUGGCGAAGGCGGGUCUCUGGACAGUUCCUGACACUGAGACACGAAGGCCAGGGGAGCAAAACGGGG